AGGACGAACGCUGGCGGCGUGCUUAACACAUGCAAGUCGUACGAUGAUGCCGCAACUUGUUGUGGUGGAUUAGUGGCGAACGGGUGAGUAACACGUGAGUAACCUGCCUUUCACUCUGGGAUAAGCCUUGGAAACGAGGUCUAAUACUGGAUAUGACUCCUUGCCGCAUGGUGGGGGGUGGAAAGCCUUCGGGUGGUGGAUGAUGGACUCGCGGACUAUCAGCUUGUUGGUGGGGUUGUGGCCUACCAAGGCUUUGACGGUUAGCCGGCCUGAGAGGGUGAUCGGCCACAUUGGGACUGAGAUACGGCCCAGACUCCUGCGGGAGGCAGCAGUGGGGAAUAUUGCACAAUGGGCGAAAGCCUGAUGCAGCGACGCCGCGUGGGGAUGAAGGCCUUCGGGUUGUAAACUCCUUCGCUCGUGACGAAGCCUUUCGGGUGACGGUAGCGGGAGAGAAGCACCGGCUAACUACGUGCCAGCAGCCGC
rnacentral:rRNA from 1 species